UCAAUGAAGGCUUUCUCUCCAUCUGAGAUUCAUUCUUUCAUUUAGUAGUUUACUGAAAGAGAAAAAAACCAAACUGAGAAGGAGACAAUGAACACGACGAAGGAUGCUAUACUAUCUGCGACCUCUAACCGUUUUCGGAGAAGAACAGAACUCUGUGUUUCUGCUCUUCCAAAUCUGCUUAUUGCAGCGGAAGAUUUCUUCAUUUCUCACGUUCGCAACCACCGCAACGUCUCUUUCACGGUAAGAAUUCCUCAGAUCUUUGUUUAGAUAGAUCUCUGUGUUCAAACUAUUGUUAAAUCCAUUGUGUUCAAACAUCAAUUUCAAUUCAAUUUCAUCGGUUAUGAACGUAACUGUUUGUGUUUCUCGUCUUCCAACUCGCUUAUUGCAGCGGAAGAUUUCUUCAUUUCUCACAAUCGCAAUCACCGCAACGUCUCUUUCACGGUCAAAAAUCAAAAUCAUCUUCAUCCUCUAUUGUCUCAAAAUCAUCUUCACGCAGGAUCCAUGGUUGUUUUCCUUGGUUUGUUCUCCGACAAAAUCAUAACUGAUGUAUUCAAUAUCGGAAUAAUGAAAAAUAGCAAUUGAUUCGCCGACGAAGACACCUUUCCACUCGAGUUCGUCGGAAUCACAAUUGAUGAUGUUGUUCUUGAAAAAGUGAUAAUUACUUAGAUGGUCUCCAAUUUGGAAGUGAACACUUUUAGCCCAUUUGUUGGAGCAAAACCAAACACAAGAUAUUUUACAAAGAGAAGCAUGUAUUUAUCAUAUAAACAAUAAAAUAGAGGUUGAAGAUGAUGGAAACAUGAUAAGGACAUCAAUAGAGAUAUUGUUUGAUUUUCGGGUUCAAAUAACUUGAUAAACCCAAUUUUUCUUCCCCAUCCUUCUGCAAAUAAUAGAGGUUGAAGAUGAUUUUCACCUAGUUUAGGCUUAAAUACGAGGGCAUAAAUGUAAUUAACCUUCCUCACCUAACAAAUAAGCUUUUUUGUUUCUUAGCUUUUGUGGGACCCAUCGACCAAUAAAAUACAGAUACCUGUUGUAGCAAGUCAAUUUGAGAGGUUUACCAAUGCACCCAAGAAAAUGGGGACCAUAUUAGGGGCUCCCAAUUAUUAAACCUUUUAUUAAAAAAAACAAUUUUUAAUACAUUUUUAUAAAAGCAAAUAUUAUUAUAUUUUAAUUUUUUUAAUAAAAAAUUCAACGGCGAGCUAGCAAAUGCAAAAUGAGGUAAACUUGGGGGGCAAAAAUCGAGCAAUUGAAACUUUGAGGGCUAAACUCGAGCAAUUGUGAAACUUAGGGGAUUAAAAUCAAGAAAUUAAAACAUGGAGACCAAAAUCAAGCAAUUGUGAAACUUGGUAGACCAAAACUGCAUUUAAGCAUUUUUUUUUUAUAUGAAGAGUUAACUUUUGGAAAACAAUAAAUGACGUUGAACCCAAUGUGAGAAACCCUUAAGUGAAAAAUGAGGAUCAAAAUUUCUAAAAGGAAUAUGGUUGGGUGGACAUUAACGUUUUAGAAAACUAAAUUUUAAAAUAAGGACCAAAAUUUCAAUUAUUUUAAGUAGGGACAAAAAAAUGUACUCAACUCUAUUUAUUUUUAUUUUUUGUCAAGUAGCCAAGUGACCCGACUCACAAUUGAGGUUUACAAAAGUGGAGAAUUCAGAGUUUAAACUUCCAGCCUAUUCAUAUUGCGCUAUCGUGUGUAUAAAUCAAACUUAAUUUUUCAUACAUACCAUUAUUUAUUAAAAUUGACAUAUUUUCUUGACAAUAUAAAUAAUUAUGUUUUGAAAAGCAUCAAUAAAUUAUAGAAAAAUAUAACUAUGUCUAUAA